GACAGAGGUCUCGAGCGUUAGGCGGAAUCACUGGGCUUAAAGCGUGUGUAGGCGGACUUGUAAGUACCUUGUGAAAUCCCAUGGCUCAACCAUGGAACUGCUCGGUAUACUGCGAAUCUUGAGCCACUUAGGGGCGACCGGAACAAAUGGUGGAGCGGUGAAAUGCGUAGAUAUCAUUUGGAACGCCAAUGGUGAAAACAGGUCGCUGGGAGUGUGCUGACGCUGAGACACGAAAGCCAGGGGAGCGAACGGG
rnacentral:rRNA from 1 species